rnacentral:tmRNA from 1 species
GGGGGCGAUUUAGUUUCGACAGGGUUUUGUUUGAAAAAUGUAAAGCACGUGGCGGUUGUCCAUCACGCCUAAAAAGGGACGCGCGAAUUAAACGCAGACAAAAAUGAAAACGUUGUUUCUAUGAACACAAUGCCUUGCGCAGUGUAAGUAAGAAGAAAUAACAGCCCGAUUGGAGCAGUAUCCAAUCCGCCAAGUUUUGAUUUGCCAACAAAACUUUCGGUGUCAGAAGGCAAAAAUUUUGCAUAAAGUUCUUCCUUUUAUAUGCAAAAAAUUUAAAGGGAUAGUUAUGGCGACUUGUUUAUGGGUGACGCCGUAAUGAAAUCUAAGCAUAAACUAAACGUGUAGAAAAGUUUUUCGAAGAAAUUUUGGACUCGGGAGCAUAACCCGACGCCUCCAC